rnacentral:rRNA from 1 species
UAACAAGUGGGCGUAACGAAGGUCGACCGACCGCGAGGGGAGCCAAUCCCAAAAAGCCGCUCUCAGUUCGGAUUGCAGGCUGCAACUCGCCUGCAUGAAGCCGGAAUCGCUAGUAAUCGCGGAUCAGCAUGCCGCGGUGAAUACGUUCCCGGGCCUU